ensembl:lncRNA
GGACACCGCGGGGUGUUGGGUCCUGAGCAAGGGCUGGCUUUGGAAACGUCCCCGAGGUGCAGCAGCGGGGGCCCUGCCAGCACCAGCAUCGGGGCUGGCAGAGCCAGGGCCAUGAAUCUGUAAAUACAUGGUGGGUUAUUUCUAUUAUUUCCAUUAUUCCUUAUUUAAUUCACCGCUCUUCUGUUGUUACCUCUCCCAAGUGGUGCUCUGGCAUAAAAGGUGCCGCAGGAUUUCGCUUUGAUCCUACGGUCCUUGUGCUGUGACCAGGGUGGGUGUGGGACUGAUGGCCCCAGACAGGGCACAGCCGGAUCUGAGCAGGGUGCAUGGGGUCAGGAUACAUCCCACAGAGCCCUGGGCAGGUCGAGACAGGGCAGUGCUGUGUGCUGGGAUGAGAGCUGAGCAUUUUCUGGGUGAUGGCACCGUUGGAUUAAGCUGAGCACCCACCUGUGGCACCUGGGCCUUAUUUAUUUUGCACUACUGCUAUUUUCCACGGAACUAUUUCAGUGGUUUUCCAAGUCUUGUAGCUGAAUUAAAGCCCAGCUCUGCACGUAAGGUGGCUGCCUCCUGCACGCCCGAGGUCUCACCCCCAGCAGCCGUCUGGAUGCGGCCUCUCGCCUCCUCCUGGCACAGCACUGUGUGCCACCGGCUGCCUGUGCCACCCUGCACUCGGGGAGGCUUUUGGUGAUGAAGUUUUGCCGCGCCAAGCCCCUGCCUGAGCCGUGCCCCGAGCCUCCCCCUGCUCAGGAGCUUAUCUGUAAACGGAGGAAGGCGCGUCAGGAUGUUCAGCAAAUAGCUGUCAUGUAAUAGAUGGGGCGCCCACGGAAACGAACACUUACAAAUGGCUGUAGCAUUUACCGAAAUGUCACGCCGAUUGCUCUCUGCUGCUCUGCCGAGGGGUGGCUUCGUGCCUGCCCCCGGCACCGCGGCGAUUCGGGGCGCCGGGAGCUCGGCUCGCACCGAGCGCGGCCAGGGGAGCAGCACGGGGCUCGGAGAGGCAAACAGAUCCAGGCAAAAAUCUCCUCUUCCAUCACGUUUAUUCCUCUUUCACAUUUCCCUGGAUGAGGGCGUUGCCAAGCACCUGGUCCGGACUUCGAGUCGUCAUUUAUUCAGAUUUAUGCAGAUGCAUUCCACUAACAAGUUAAUUCGUUUAGCAGGUCCGGCAGCUCUUUACAUUUUGCGCAGGUUUUAUCCCCUCCUUCCCUUCCUCUCCCCUCCCGCCAAGCCUGUCAGGAACCUCCACCGCUUUUCUGCUGAGCUGGGCUCAUUUCUGCUGGGGGCCGUGACCUGCUGGAUCCCUGAACCUCCCCAAGAGCAGGACGGGGACGUGGCACGGAGCAGGGAUGUGUGGGAGGAGGAUGCGCAGCCGGCGAUGCUCGGCGCUUCUCCUGGCUGCCUGCAGGGCCUCAUCCUGCCCUGGUGCUGCUGUCCUGGGGCAUCCUGGCAUGGGGCAGCGCGGAGCUGUGGGUGCUCAGGCUGGAACCACGGCACCAGGAGCUGCAGAGCGCUCCCCUGGCACAACCGGCGCUCGCCCGUGGAGCCACGCGGGCACACGCUGCCCUCCUCCAGCACCCACGGGACAUCCGUGCAGCACAAUCAUCUUGCCUGCUUCCUCCGGGACCGUUAGCGCUCCUGCACUCGACAGAAGAUUAAUUAAGCCGGGGUCCUGGCAGAGGACAGCCCGCGCGCUCCCGGCCGGGCUGGGUGAGCGGGGUGACCCCGGGGCGCAGCCCGGGCUGCGGGGCCGAGCACGGCCGUGCCUCCAGCGGGAGGGUUCACUGCUAAUUGUGCCCCUCCGGGUGUUUGGAGCUCAUUAGAAGCUGGGAAUUAUUAAUGGGGAGCACCGGUGGCUCCUCUGGGCACCCCAAAGCCUGCAGGAAACCCCUCUGCUCCCCAUGCACCCACGGGGAGCAGAGGCACAUGGAGCUGUGGGAUCCCCAGCCUGGCAGCCCCAAGGCAGCCCCCAGGAGCUGCCCUUGGGGUCUCAGGUACCUGUGUGGGGCUCUGUGCCCCUCGCCAAGUCGGGAGCCAGGCUCGGGAGCUGCUUGGCCCCAAAGUGGCUGCUCCACGGGGUGCACUUCUUCCCCACGGCCCCAAAAACCUCCUCCAUCACGGGGCUUCAGCGAGCUCCUGGCCUGCUGCAGGGAGGUUCAUUUAAUAUGUGCAGAAGUGCUAUUUAAUUUAACGCAUUUGUUAGAUUUUUAAUAGCUUCAGCAUCAGGAAUGAGGAGCGAGUGGAAUCGUUGCAGGCAGCUCCUGCUGGUCCCUGGGCUGCUCGGGUCCCCCCCAGCCCUCCCAGAGGGGCUGAGGUGGCCCCGAAAACCCCACAUGGGUCCAGCCCUGGGGACCCUCUUCCAGCCAAAUAAUUUGCUGGGGGUGAGAUUUAAAGCGCAGGACCGGACCGCAGGGCUUUGCCGCUCUCAGACAGAAAGACAACUCCUGGGUGCCCAAAGUUUGCAAAAAUCCCCCAAAAUUCAUUCCAGCCUCACUGAGUCACGGGCUGGUGCUCAUCUCCCACACCAUCCCCGUGCCACACACCCUCCUGUCCCCAUCGCAGCCCCAAAAUCUGGGCAGCUCGGGCGCGUUUACCCACACCAGGGCGCAGGGGUAGAGAUCUCACCCGCCGAGAUGCACAACCCCAGCCAAACGGCACGGAGCCGUGGCCAGCAAAACCCGAGGGCCACGAGCCACAAGGACCAGGAGCCACAAGGACCAGGAGGGCACAGAGAGGGAAAUCGGGGCGAAGCAGCAGCAGCAGCGAGGGGCAGGAGGGAGGCGCCUCCUGGAAGGAGCCCAGAGCGCGUCGCUCAGCGCAAAGCAAAUGUUUUGACUUCCAGUUGCUGGGGUUUUGUCGCGGUUCUGAUACGCUGGCUCUAAAAGAAAAAUGCCAUCGUGUGACAAAAAAAAAAAAGUCAGAGAUUUUUCUUUGGGAAAUGUCAAAACGAAACACUUCCAAAGCGAGAUGUCUCAUCAGCCAAAUCCCUGCCCCGAGGCUGCGCUGGAGACCGCGGGGCUCCCGGACCCAGCACCUGCACCCCCCGUUAACCCCCCCCCAUCCCAUGGGGAGGACCCAGAAGUGGUCCCCAAAAUGUGCCGCGGGUCCCACAGCCUGGCCGUGCCCCGGUGCCACCCAUCAGUGCCACUGCACACACCAGAGCCCCGUGCGUCACUGCUGAUGCUCAGCGUCCCCAUCGCCGCCCAGCCCCGUGGCCUUUUUCUGGGCCCAUGGGGGUCACAGCGGGGGCUGGGGGAGCUGCCCCGACCCCAUCCCAUCCCAAAUCCAUCGGGGUGCUCAGACAGCAGCGGCUCGGUGCCCUCUCCCCUUCACAAACGAGUCCCCACCGCCUGCUGUGGGAGCUCCCCUGUGCCAGGACAACCAGAGCCCUUCCACCUGCCUGCGCCGAGGGGCCUGCUCCGGGCGGGCAGUUCGUGGGAUUUCAUUAUUAUUAUUAUUAUUAUUAUUGUUAUUAUUUAAUUCUCAAGGUCGUGGGAUUUACGGCCCAAGCUUACUUAUUAUCAGACGCAGCCAAAUAAAAAUGAUAGAUUUCUGUGCCAGCUUUGCAGCAGCUCUCGGUGGCUAUUAAGGUUGCUAAAAACGUUUUCCAUUCAAAAAAAAAAAAAAAAAAACGGAGAGCAAAGAACGGAGGGAAGAAAAAGAGCAAAAGGAAAAAGGCAAUAGGAUCCAGGCCAGUGAUGGAUUGCAGGAGAUAAUCCUUCCUGGCAGCCCAGGACUGCAUAACCUUGAUGUCACCAGCUAUUUUUCUCUGCCUGAGCUCUCCAGCUCAGCACGGGUGCCCGUGGCAGAGGGGUGACCCCACUGCGCCUCCCCAAAACUGCCGGAAUUUGGGGUUUCCCCCUCAUUUCUGUGUCCUGGGAAGGAGGGGAGCUGGGUCCCGGUGUCAGAGCAUCCCAAGGGGCAGGCGGGGGGCACGGGGCUGUGGGUGCCCAUCGCCCACUGGUGGGUGCUGGGGUGAUGGGGGCAGCGUCCCCAAGAUCAGCCCCACUCCGGCACGGCCCCCGCUCCCCUCCCCGCCAGCAUCCCCUCUCCAUCCCCUUUUUGUCAUCCGCCGUCCCCCCCCGCGCCCCUUCCCGCCGCGCUCUCUUCCCCGCAUUUCUGCCAUUUUUAUCUAACGCCGGCCGUGAAAAUUGGUGUGAAAUUAAAAAAAAAAAAAAAAAGGCAUCUCUGCCCACAGAUGAAAUCAAUUGAUUUGGCAGGUCGCCCGUGGACACCUCCGAGCAGCACUUCCAAUUUGCAGGACGGACGCGGGCUCUGUGCAGCUUCUUCCCUUUCUUCUCCCGCCUCGCCCCCCCCCCUUCUC